rnacentral:rRNA from 1 species
GAUGAACGCUGGCGGCGUGCCUAAUACAUGCAAGUCGAGCGAAGCGGGGACGGGUGAGUAACACGUGGCUAACCUCCUAUGAGACUGGGAUAACUUCGGGAAACCGGAGAUCAACCGGUUACUUAUAGAUGGAUCCGCGCUGCAGUGGCUAGUUGGUAGGGUAACGGCUUACCAAGGCAACGAUGCAUAGCCGACCUGAGAGGGUGAUCGGCCACACUGGAACUGAGACACGGUCCAGACUCCUACGGGAGGCAGCAGUAGGGAAUCUUCCGCAAUGGGCGAAAGCCUGACGGAGCAACGCCGCGUGAGUGAUGAAGGUCUUCGGAUCGUAAAACUCUGUUAUUAGGGAGGCGGUACCUAAUCAGAAAGCCACGGCUAACUACGUGCCAGCCGCCGCGGUAAUAC